rnacentral:siRNA from 1 species
CGCAUGCGCCCGCCGCCCGAUUGCC